rnacentral:rRNA from 1 species
GACGAACGCUGGCGGCGUGCUUAACACAUGCAAGUCGAACGGAAAGGCCCUGCUUUUGUGGGGUGCUCGAGUGGCGAACGGGUGAGUAACACGUGAGUAACCUGCCCUUGACUUUGGGAUAACUUCAGGAAACUGGGGCUAAUACCGGAUAGGAUCUCCUGCUGCAUGGUGGGGGUUGGAAAGUUUCGGCGGUUGGGGAUGGACUCGCGGCUUAUCAGCUUGUUGGUGGGGUAGUGGCUUACCAAGGCUUUGACGGGUAGCCGGCAUGAGAGGGGGACCGGCCACAUGGGGACUGAGAUACGGCCCAGAGUCGUACGGGAGGCAGAAGGGGGGAAUAUUGCACAAUGGGCGGAAGCCUGAUGAAGAAACGCCGCGUGCGGGAUGACGGCCUUCGGGUUGUAAACAGCUUUAGCCUGUGACGAAGCGUGAGUGACGGUAAUGGGUAAAGAAGCACCGGCUAACUACGUG